UUUUAGUGGCGAACGGGUGCGGAAUGCGUAGGAAUCUACCUUAGAGUGGGGGAUAACUCGGGGAAACUCGAGCUAAUACCGCAUAUUCUCUAUGGAGUGAGAGGGGGCGAAAGCUCUCGCUUUAAGAUGAGCCUACGUCGGAUUAGCUUGUUGGUGGGGUAAAGGCCUACCAAGGCGACGAUCCGUAGCUGGUCUGAGAGGAUGACCAGCCACACUGGGACUGAGAUACGGCCCAGACUCCUACGGGAGGCAGCAGUGGGGAAUAUUGGACAAUGGGCGAAAGCCUGAUCCAGCAAUGCCGCGUGUGUGAAGAAGGCCUUCGGGUUGUAAAGCACUUUCAGUAGGGAGGAAAGAUCCGGGGCUAAUACCCUUGGAUGUUGACGUUACCUACAGAAGAAGCAACGGCUAACUCUGUGCCAGCAGCCGCGGUAAUACAG
rnacentral:rRNA from 1 species